GGUGGUUCUCAGGUGAUGCACCCUGGAAUCGGGCUCCUUCUCUCUGAUCCCGGGUGCGUCACCCAAGAACCACA
rfam:Myotis brandtii contig229564, whole genome shotgun sequence.